rnacentral:tRNA from 1 species
ACCUGGGUGGCUCAGUCAGUUGAGCUUCUGGCUUCGGCUCAGGUCAUGAUCUCAUGGUUUGUGGGUUCAAGCCCCACUUUGGGCU